rnacentral:snoRNA from 1 species
AUCAUUUUGUAGUUCAUGAACGUGAUGGUUGGGUGUUCACACACGUAUGUGAGAUGUGCUACCCUCGAACCUUGUUAAAAGAAAAAAAAAGCUAAUAUUGUAUUAUUAUAUGUGUGACU